GGAGUUGGAGGUUAUUCUGAUUUCUGGUCUUUUUUGGUUUCCAUGACUGGAGUGUCCGUUCAUUCCUAUUUGAGCUGAUGUAUUGGGAGUGCCAUGAUACUUCUUAUUCCUCUCUGACUGCUGACUUUGUUGUGGAUACUCAUGUUAUCCCACCCCCCCAUGGUUAUGGAGCCCUCUGGAGUGGGGGAUCGUUAUGGACAUUGAGCAUUUCAUCUGGUUUGGCCGCCCUGAUCGCGGCUCACAUACAAGCUCCAUGGGGAUGAUCUAGGCGCUCUGUGUCUGGAAAAGGGUGAGUCCCAUUCCUUUUACAUAUUGAGCUCCCCACUUCUUCCCUUUAUUUUCCACAUGCUGCAAAUGUCAAUGUCUGGUCACAGGUAUAUUCUAUAUGUAUGUUAUUAUAUACCCUUCUUUUGUUUUAGGAAAAAUUUCACUGCUUUUUGUUCCCUGAAGAAAGAUGUAUUACUGAGACAUCUGAAACGCGUCGGAUAAAUGACCAUCCAUGCCCUUAGCCCAGUCCUGGGGUGUGCGGUGAUCCUCUAGCAGUAACAAUUUUUUCAAUCUAGAAAUUUUUCAUCUUUUUAAAUAAUGUUGUCAUUAUGAAGUGUUUAUGCUUUGAACAAAUGUAUUAAAAAUGUAUACUUUUAUGA